CAGUAGCCGCGGUAAUACAGAGGGUGCAAGCGUUAAUCGGAAUUACUGGGCGUAAAGCGCGCGUAGGUGGUUUGUUAAGUUGGAUGUGAAAGCCCCGGGCUCAACCUGGGAACUGCAUCCAAAACUGGCAAGCUAGAGUACGGUAGAGGGUGGUGGAAUUUCCUGUGUAGCGGUGAAAUGCGUUGAGAUCGGAAAGAACACCAACGGCGAAAGCACUCUGCUGGGCCGACACUGACACUGAGAGACGAAAGCUAGGGGAGCAAAUGGGAUUAGAUACCCGCGUAGUCCCUGUCUCUUAUAC
rnacentral:rRNA from 1 species